GAUGAACGCUGGCGGCGUGCCUAAUACAUGCAAGUCGAGCGAACGGACGAGGAGCUUGCUCCUCUGACGUUAGCGGCGGACGGGUGAGUAACACGUGGAUAACCUACCUAUAAGACUGGGAUAACUUCGGGAAACCGGAGCUAAUACCGGAUAAUAUAUUGAACCGCAUGGUUCAAUAGUGAAAGACGGUUUUGCUGUCACUUAUAGAUGGAUCCGCGCCGCAUUAGCUAGUUGGUAAGGUAACGGCUUACCAAGGCAACGAUGCGUAGCCGACCUGAGAGGGUGAUCGGCCACACUGGAACUGAGACACGGUCCAGACUCCUACGGGAGGCAGCAGUAGGGAAUCUUCCGCAAUGGGCGAAAGCCUGACGGAGCAACGCCGCGUGAGUGAUGAAGGUCUUCGGAUCGUAAAGCUCUGUUAUUAGGGAAGAACAAAUGUGUAAGUAACUAUGCACGUCUUGACGGUACCUAAUCAGAAAGCCACGGCUAACUACGUG
rnacentral:rRNA from 1 species